rnacentral:rRNA from 1 species
AACGAACGCUGGCGGCGCGCCUAAUACAUGCAAGUCGAGCGAGGAGGUGUAGCAAUACACUUGUAAAGCGGCGAACGGGUGAGGAAUGCAUGGGUAACCUACCCUCGAGUGGGGAAUAACUAGCCGAAAGGUUAGCUAAUACCGCAUACGUUUCCGGAACUUCGGUUUCGGAAAGAAAGCAAUACCGUGGGUAUUGCGCUCCUGGAUGGGCUCAUGUCCUAUCAGCUUGUUGGUGAGGUAACGGCUCACCAAGGCUUCGACGGGUAGCUGGUCUGAGAGGACGAUCAGCCACACUGGCACUGCGACACGGGCCAGACUCCUA